rfam:Shewanella sp. YQH10 contig3, whole genome shotgun sequence.
GAACAGCAUAAUUUUCUCGUUUUUUACUUUCUUUUUUACACCUCACACCCAGGGGCGGCGGUAACGUGUAAAAACGAAAGUGAAAAUUACCAAGCCUCCCAACCGGGAGGCUUUUUCGUA